CCUACGGGGGGCAGCAGUGGGGAAUAUUGGACAAUGGGCGAAAGCCUGAUCCAGCCAUGCCGCGUGUGUGAAGAAGGUCUUAGGAUCGUAAAGCACUUUAAGUUGGGAGGAAGGGUUGUAGAUUAAUACUCUGCAAUUUUGACGUUACCGACAGAAUAAGCACCGGCUAACUCUGUGCCAGCAGCCGCGGUAAUACAGAGGGUGCAAGCGUUAAUCGGAAUUACUGGGCGUAAAGCGCGCGUAGGUGGUUCGUUAAGUUGGAUGUGAAAUCCCCGGGCUCAACCUGGGAACUGCAUUCAAAACUGUCGAGCUAGAGUAUGGUAGAGGGUGGUGGAAUUUCCUGUGUAGCGGUGAAAUGCGUAGAUAUAGGAAGGAACACCAGUGGCGAAGGCGACCACCUGGACUGAUACUGACACUGAGGUGCGAAAGCGUGGGGAGCAAACAGGAUUAGAUACCCCAGUAGUC
rnacentral:rRNA from 1 species